rnacentral:rRNA from 1 species
CCUACGGGUGGCAGCAGUGGGGAAUAUUGCACAAUGGGGGGAACCCUGAUGCAGCGACGCCGCGUGAGUGAAGACGUAUUUCGGUAUGUAAAGCUCUGUCAGCAGGGAAGAAGAAAGACGGUACCUGACCAAGAAGCCCCGGCCAACUACGUGCCAGCAGCCGCGGUAAAACGGAGGGGGCACGCGUUAUCCGGAUUUACUGGGUGUAAAGGGAGGGUAGAGGGCAGGGCAAGUCUAGAGGGAAUGGCAGGGGCCCAACCCCUGGACUGCUUUGGAAACUGUCAGGCUUGAGUGCAGGAGAGGUAAGUGGAAUUGCUGGUGUAGCGGUGAAAUGCGUAGAUAUUAGGAGGAACACCAGUGGCGAAGGCGGCUUACUGGACUGUAACUGACGUUGAGGCUCGAAAGCGUGGGGAGCAAACAGGAUUAGAUACCCCUGUAGUC